rnacentral:lncRNA from 1 species
GGAAUCAUUCUCAGUACCGCCCAAAUUCAUCCAUUCAAGCUCCUUCCUCGGCCAGUGCUCCCAUGCCAAAAUUUAGAGACAGGAAUAGGGAUAGGGCGUCAGGCCCUAAACCUCAGGGUAGUAUUAGUAGUGCCCGCACUCAUCCUCUUGGUAAUACUUAUAGCAAGAACCAUCAGGGUGUUUGCAGAGAUGAAAGUGAUGACUAUUUUAGAUGUGGCAAGCCAGGCCACAGGGUCAGAGAUUGUCCCCUGUUAGGAUUUUAGGGUCAGCAUAACCAUUCCUCAGCUCAGUUUGGUGGCCAGAACCAGCAAGGUGCCAC